rnacentral:rRNA from 1 species
AUUGAACGCUGGCGGCAUGCCUUACACAUGCAAGUCGAACGGCAGCACGGGAGCAAUCCUGGUGGCGAGUGGCGAACGGGUGAGUAAUAUAUCGGAACGUGCCCAGUCGUGGGGGAUAACGUAGCGAAAGCUACGCUAAUACCGCAUACGAUCUAUGGAUGAAAGCGGGGGAUCGCAAGACCUCGCGCGAUUGGAGAGGCCGAUAUCAGAUUAGCUAGUUGGUGGGGUAAAAGCCCACCAAGGCGACUAUCUGUAGCUGGUCUGAGAGGACGACCAGCCACACUGGAACUGAGACACGGUCCAUACUCCGACGGGAGGCAGCAGUGGGGAAUUUUGGACAAUGGGCGCAAGCCUGAUCCAGCAAUGCCGCGUGCAGGAUGAAGGCCUUCGGGUUGUAAACUGCUUUUGUACGGAGCGAAACGGCUCUCUCUAAUACAGGGGGCUAAUGACGGUACCGUAAGAAUAAGCACCGGCUAACUACGUGCCAGCAGCCGCGGUAAGAC